AACAUCGGCGUAAAGCGUGGUUAAGAUGAUUAGAACACUAAAGCCGAACGCCUUCUACACUGUUAUACGUCUUCCGAAGGUAAGAAGCCCAAUCACGAAAGUAGCUUUAACUAUGUCUGAACCCACGAAAGCUAGGGCACAAACUGGGAUUAGAUACCCCACUAUGCCUAGCCGUAAACAUAGACAGUUCACGUACCCUACUGUCCGCCCGGGAACUACGAGCAUUAGCUUAAAACCCAAAGGACUUGGCGGUGCUUUAUACCCACCUAGAGGAGCCUGUCCUAGAACCGAUAAUCCCCGUUCAACCUCACCCUUCCUUGUUCUUUCCGCCUAUAUACCGCCGUCGUCAGCUUACCCUGUGAAGGCCUUAUAGUAAGCAAAAUCGGCACAGCCCAAAACGUCAGGUCGAGGUGUAGCGUAUGGAAGGGGAAGAGAUGGGCUACAUUCCCUAACUACUAGGGCAUACGAAUGAUCGUGCUGAAACGCAUAUCUGAAGGAGGAUUUAGCAGUAAGCAGGAAGUAGAGUGUCCCGCUGAAGCCGGCUCUGAAGCGCGUACACACCGCCCGUCACCCUCCCCAAGUCGACACAUUAAAAUAAUUAAUACACCACAACUGCAAAGGGGAGGCAAGUCGUAACAUGGGUAAAGUG
rnacentral:rRNA from 1 species